UAGGGAAUCUUCCACAAUGGGCGCAAGCCUGAUGGAGCAACACCGCGUGAGUGAAGAAGGGUUUCGGCUCGUAAAGCUCUGUUGUUAGAGAAGAACGUGCGUGAGAGCAACUGUUCACGCAGUGACGGUAUCUAACCAGAAAGUCACGGCUAACUACGUGCCA
rnacentral:rRNA from 1 species